rnacentral:misc_RNA from 1 species
GCCAAGCGCAAGAGCCUGGUGGACAGAAUUCACACCCUUUUGGACAGAUGUGAUGGAUUAGCCAAGGGAAUUGAUGACAUGUUAGCAAGUAAUGAAGGCAAAGACAAAUGAUGACAGCCCCUGUUUUAGGUGUACAGUCUUAAUAUCUCUGUGUGUCUAGUACCCUAAGAGUGGUAGGAAUACACACUGAAUGCAUUAGAGGUUUCCACAAGAGAUCAAACAAUUUUCAAAUCAAAUUCUGGUGCUCAAAGCAAGAAAAUAGACUAAAUUGUUUUGGAGAAGAAGAAUUCUCUGGAAUUUAUUAAGCAUGAUACAUGAAGCACUAGUCAGCUGUUAGUAUAGAAGGUUUUAUUUAUAUUUUGAUGAAAUAUAGUGAUCUGAAUACAUGUACAUGUAUUUCAAGAGAGAUAGAAGGUACAUGUAUUAGGAAAUUCAUUAUAUACCUAGAAUCUUGUUUAAAGUGAUUGAACUGAGUUGAUAAUUUUUCUACGAAAAUUUCACAGAGGAAAUUCCUUUGCAAGUGAACUCUUACAAACUGACAGGCAGAAACAUAGUCUAGCAGGAGAGACGAGAGGCCUUGUCCAGGGUCUGGGAUGGGAUACAAACCAUAGCAGCUUUUAAUUUAUCUGAAUGGUUCAUUGUUAGUGUAUUUAUAACACUUCUCUUCGUAUGAUGUUUUAGUUUUCAUUGGGGGAUGGGUCCUCAGUGAUUCGGUGUAUAUAAAAUAUUGAUUUUAAAAGCCUGUUUGUGAAUGUUAAUUCAUACUUUAAAAGUAAAACAAAUUAAGAUGACACAUUUUAAUGCAUUUAAAGGAAUUUAAAGCCUUUUAUUUUAGUUUUAUAUAUAGGGUACUUAUAUAUACUCUUGUAUAUACAUCAUCUUGGUAACCUGAUUCAAAUUUUUAAAGGGUUACGUGUGAUGGGUCUAGACAUUGUUGAAAUUUUUAAAAAUAUUUUUAUAUUUUCCUGUUGUGAAACAUCUAAUGGGCAUUUAAAAAAAUGAUUCAUAUUCAAGAGUUAAGGUACAUGUAGUACAGAGUUUGGUUUUUGUGAAUAUCAUGCCUUUGAUUAUCAGUUUAACAUAGUUGCAGAUCUGCAGCUGCAUCUACCCAUUACAAUGCCAAAAUCACCAUUAGUUCUCUCAUUAUUAUAACCGGUAUAUAACAAAUCAUUUCAUUGAUGUUUGAGUGAAUGUGAAUAUGCAGUGUUUUAAUAUUAUCUAAAUUGCUUGCAUAAUAAUACAAUGAGUUAGAAUGAUUUAAUUAAUAUAUUGAAAUAUUGAUUAUGAUAUUUUAAACAAUUUAAAAAAAAAAAUUUCCUGUGGUGCGUUAACUUAUUUAUAAAAAUCUAACAGAGAAAAGUGUAAAGUCAGUUUUUUUUUUUACUUAUUGAAUUUGUGGUUGUUAUUAAAGAUAAUUACUGUG